rnacentral:misc_RNA from 1 species
UUUCCGUAGGUGAUCCUGCGGAAGGAUCAUUCAUAAUAAAGUGUUUUAUGGCACUUUUUAAAAAUCCAUAUCCACCUUGUGUGCAAUGUUAGAUCUCGUCAAUCUUGGCGAGAUUUUUAUACAUCAACUCAUUCUUUAACUAAUUUGUCUGAAAAAUAUUAUGAAUACUUAAUUCAAAAUACAACUUUCAACAACGGAUCUCUUGGCUCUC